UGGGGAAUAUUGCACAAUGGGCGCAAGCCUGAUGCAGCCAUGCCGCGUGUAUGAAGAAGGCCUUCGGGUUGUAAAGUACUUUCAGUCGGGAGGAAGGUGUCAAGGUUAAUAACCUUGGCAAUUGACGUACCGACAGAAGAAGCACCGGCUAACUCCGUGCCAGCAGCCGCGGUAAUACGGAGGGUGCAAGCGUUAAUCGGAAUUACUGGGCGUAAAGCGCACGCAGGCGGUUGAUUGAGUCAGAUGUGAAAUCCCCGGGCUUAACCCGGGAAUUGCAUCUGAUACUGGUCAGCUAGAGUCUUGUAGAGGGGGGUAGAAUUCCAUGUGUAGCGGUGAAAUGCGUAGAGAUGUGGAGGAAUACCGGUGGCGAAGGCGGCCCCCUGGACAAAGACUGACGCUCAGGUGCGAAAGCGUGGGGAGCAAACAGG
rnacentral:rRNA from 1 species